AGGCUGUGAAAACUUUAAUACUCAAUAUCUCAGAACUAAGUUUUGUGUUUGUGCCGAUAGAAUAUUUAUAGUCCCAACGUUACAAAAAUUAUAAUUUGUGUCGUAAAUGUUAUUAACAAACAGUUUUUGGUGUUUUGUUUGGAGGAUGUUCCCAUUUUCUUACGUUAGGUCAAUGUAAAGACUUCAAUCAGUACUCUUGGUGGAAAUGUUAAAUCAGUUACUAAAAUCUGACAUUUUCAUUCCUAUCGACUCCCAAAUUCCCAAAACAUGCGUUUCUGUUUAUACAGUAUUUAUUACCACAACAGCAUGUGUUUGAUAUUGUUAUGAAGCAGUACAUUGGUAGUGCCAGUCAUUCACCUAGUUACUUCCUCAGUUGUGUUUAUUCCUAUGUGGAACAGAAAGCUUCCACUAGAGAGGGCGUUUGCACUGUUGCUAUGCCGACGGUCUUUUGCCCGACGGUCUUCUUCCUGCUUGGAUACGAUGUUCCGUAACAGUUAAUCAUCUUCCUAAACUAUCAUUUUUCUGCAAAAAAACAACAACCUGGUGGUUCAAGUUACUGCACAGCGUUGUUGUAGUGCUAGUUCCACUGUGCCAGCCUGCUCCGGGGGCAGAAGGUAGAGGUCAGGUCUACUGGCCCUAGGUGAUGCCAGCCAGUCUUGUGCCAGGAAUAGUAGAUCUUAAGCCCAGACCCCAGAUCCUAAAUCAUGCCGGCCAGGCAUGGUAGAUCUCAGGCCCAGACCCCUGGUCCUAAAUCAUGCUGGCCAGCCAGGGAGGGAGGAAGAGUCUAGGUCCUAAAUCAUGCUGGCCAGCCAGGGAGGGAGGAACAGUCUAUGUCCUAUAUCAUGCUGGCCAGGUAGGGAGGAAGAGUCCAGGUCCUAUAUCAUGCUGGCCAGGAAGGAAGGAAGAGUCCAGGUCCUAUAUCAUGCUGGCCAGGAAGGAAGGAAGAGUCCAGGUCCUAUAUCAUGCUGGCCAGGAAGGAAGGAAGAGUCCAGGUCCUAUAUCAUGCUGGCCAGCCUGGUAGGAAGGAAGAGUCCAGGUCCUAUAUCAUGCUGGCCAGGUAAGAAGGAAGAGUCCAGGUCCUAUAUCAUAAUGGCCAGGUAAGAAGGAAGAGUCCAUGUCAUAUAUCAUGCUGGCCUGCCAGGGAGGGAGGAAGAGUCCAGGUCCUAUAUCAUGCUGGCCAGCCAGGUAGGAAGGAAGAGUCCAGGUCCUAUAUCAUGCUGGCAAGGUAGGAAGGAAGAGUCCAGGUCCUAUAUCAUGCUGGCCAGCCAGGUAGGAAGGAAGUGUCCAGGUCCUAUAUCAUGCUGGCCAGGUAGGAAGGAAAGAUCCAGGUCCUAUAUCAUGCUGGCCAACCAGGUAGGAAGGAAGAAUCCAGGUCCUAUAUCAUGCUGGCCAGCCAGGGAGGGAGGAAGUGUCCAGGUCCUAUAUCAUGCUGGCCAGCCAGGGAGGAAGUGUCUAGGUCCUAUAUCAUGAUGGCCAGGUAGGAAGGAAGAGUCCAGGUCCUAUAUCAUGCUGGCCAGCCAGGUAGGAAGGAAGUGCCCAGGGCCUAUAUCAUGCCAGCCAGCCAGCCAGGGAGGGAGGAAGAUCCAGGUCCUAUAUCAUGCUGGCCAACCAGGUAGGAAGGAAGAGGCCAGGUCCUAUAUCAUGCUGGCCAGCCAGAGAGGGAGGAAGAGCCCAGGGCCUAUAUCAUGCCAGCCAGCUAGCCAGGGAGGGAGGAAGAGUCCAGGUCCUAUAUCAUGCUGGCCAGCCAGGUAGGAAGGAAGUAUCCAGGUCCUAUAUCAUGCUGGCCAGCCAGGUAGGAAGGAAGAGGCCAGGUCCUAUAUCAUGCUGGCCAGGGAGGUAGGAAGAGUCCAGGUGCUAUAUCAUGCUGGCCAGCCAGGGAGGAAGUGUCUAGGUCCUAUAUCAUGCUGGCCAGCCAGGUAGGAAGGAAGAGGCCAGGUUCUAUAUCAUGCUGGCCAGGGAGGUUGGAAGAGUCCAGGUGCUAUAUCAUGCUGGCCAGCCAGAGAGGGAGGAAGAGGCCAGGGCCUAUAUCAUGCCAGCCAGCCAGGGAGGGAGGAAGAGUCCAGGUCCUAUAUCAUGCUGGCCAGCCAGGUAGGAAGGAAGUGUCCAGGUCCUAAAUCAUGCUGGCCAGCCAGGGAGGAAGGAAGUGUCCAGGUCCUAUAUCAUGCUGGCCAGCCAGGUAGAAAGGAAGUGUCCAGGUCCUAUAUCAUGCUGGCCAGGUAGGAAGGAAAGAUCCAGGUACUAUAUCAUGCUGGCCAACCAGGUAGGAAGGAAGAAUCAAGGUCCUAUAUCAUGCUGGCCAGCCAGGGAUGGAGGAAGUGUCCAGGUCCUAUAUCAUGCUGGCCAGCCAGGAAUGAAGGAAGUGUCCAGGUCCUAUAUCAUGCUGGCCAGCCAGGUAGGAAGGAAGAGGCCAGGUCCUAUAUCAUGCUGGCCAUGGAGGUAGGAAGAGUUCAGGUGCUAUAUCAUGCUGGCCAGCCAGAGAGGGAGGAAGAGGCCAGGGCCUAUAUCAUGCCAGCCAGCCAGGGAGGGAGGAAGAGUCCAGGUCCUAUAUCAUGCUGGCCAGCCAGGUAGGAAGGAAGUGUCCAGGUCCUAAAUCAUGCUGGCCAGCCAGGGAGGAAGGAAGUGUCCAGGUCCUAUAUCAUGCUGGCCAGCCAGGUAGAAAGGAAGUGUCCAGGUCCUAUAUCAUGCUGGCCAGGUAGGAAGAAAAGAUCCAGGUACUAUAUCAUGCUGGCCAACCAGGUAGGAAGGAAGAAUCAAGGUCCUAUAUCAUGCUGGCCAGCCAGGUAGGAAGGAAGAGGCCAGGUCCUAUAUCAUGCUGGCCAGGGAGGUAGGAAGAGUCCAGGUGCUAUAUCAUGCUGGCCAGCCAGGGAGGAAGUGUCUAGGUCCUAUAUCAUGCUGGGCAGCCAGGGAGGAAGUGUCUAGGUCCUAUAUCAUGCUGGCCAGCCAGGUAGGAAGGAAGAGGCCAGGUCCUAUAUCAUGCUGGCCAGGGACGUAGGAAGAGUCCAGGUGCUAUAUCAUGCUGGCCAGCCAGAGAGGGAGGAAGAGGCCAGGGCCUAUAUCAUGCCAGCCAGCCAGGGUGGGAGGAAGAGUCCAGGUCCUAUAUCAUGCUGGCCAGCCAGGUAGGAAGGAAGGAAGUGUCCAGGUCCUAUAUCAUGCUUGCCAGCCAGGGAGGGAGGAAGUGUCCAGGUCCUAUAUCAUGCUGGCCAGCCAGGGAGGAAGUGUCUAGGUCCUAUAUCAUGCUGGCCAGCCAGGUAGGAAUGAAGGAAGUGUCCAGGUCCUAUAUCAUGCUGGCCAGCAAGGUAGGAAGGAAGUGUCCAGGUCCUAUAUCAUGCUGGCCAGCCAGGUAGGAAGGAAGUGUCCAGGUCCUAUAUCAUGCUGGCCAGCCGGGUAGGAAGGAAGUGUCCAGGUUCUAUAUCAUGCUGGCCAGGUAGGAAGGAAGAGUCCAGGUCCUAUAUCCUGCUGGCCAGGUAGGAAGGAAGAGUCCAGGUCCUAUAUCAUGCUGGCCAGGUAGGAAGGAAGAGUCCAGGUUCUAUAUCAUGCUGGCCAGCUAGGGAGGGAGGAAGUGGCCAGGUCCUAUAUCAUGCUGGCCAGCCAGGGAGGAAGUGUCUAGGUCCUAUAUCAUGCUGGCCAGCCAGGUAGGAAGGAAGGAAGUGUCCAGGUCCUAUAUCAUGCUGGCCAGCAAUGUAGGAAGGAAGUGUCCAGGUCCUAUAUCAUGCUGGCCAGCCAGGUAGGAAGGAAGUGUCCAGGUCCUAUAUCAUGCUGGCCAGCCGGGUAGGAAGGAAGUGUCCAGGUCCUAUAUCAUGCUGGCCAGGUAGGAAGGAAGAGUCCAGGUGCUAUAUCCUGCUGGCCAGGUAGGAAGGAAGAGUCCAGGUCCUAUAUCAUGCUGGCCAG